UUUGUUUAGUCCCACAUCGCUCGUCCACAGCAGGAGGCACGACGAAGAGGCUAUAAAAGGGACCAGCUGCUACCUCAAUCCUCACUUACCUGGACGGGGUCAAUGACCUAUCAAGAAGGCUCAUGGCCUAGGUUAGCAGCCUCCAUUGCACUUCGGAGGAGUGCUGGCUUACCAUCUCCCUAAGUGGGAGAAUGGAUGUCAUAAUUUGUGCUAGUAGGGUUACGCGUCCGCGCGGCCCUUGCCAAUUUGAAGUCUAGGUAUUUCGUUUGAUCACACUAGUAAUGGCGGCUCAAGUGCGCGUCGACCUCAUCGUGUAUUCCGCUACAAGCUUUGAGAACAGAGAGGAUUUGUCCUCCAGCAACCUGGCUGGCGUUUGGUGCUCCACAGCCAUGCCUGUAAAAUUUUGCCACUGUGUUUGUCAGUCCAGUUCAUAAGUGUCACACCCAGAUUGGGCAGAUUAACAAGACGUAGCUUAAAGUUCAUUUAAAGGAGUGGUGAUAUGGUAGCUGACCAUUGUCAAGAAGCAAGACUAUAUCACUGUGAAGGACCGAGGUGAUUCGAUGCGCGAUUGUGAUGACGGUCGCCCCCGAGAAAUGCUGCUGCAGUGUCUUCUGGAUCAGGUUAUCUGUUGCGGUGUCCACCGAAGCGGUGGCUUCGUCCAGGACCAGUAUCUUGGUCCGUCUCAAGAUCACCCUGCCGAGACAGACGAGCUGACGCUGGCCGACGCUCCAGUUCUCUCCGUUCUCCACCACUGCGAGUGGACUUUUGAAUUUCAGAAAUUUCAGAAGAAGCUAGACUAGUGGAAUGUGAACUGUAUGGUUCAAUAUAGAUCAGACCUGGCGAGUCAAGUUUGAGCUCCUUUCUCCGAACUUCAUCUCCUAGCUGACAGUGAUCCAAGGCCUGAAAUGUUUAUUUUUCAGUUUUUAAGUGAGUGGUUUUAGAGCGUGUAAUAAUUCGAGAAAUGAAAGAAAUGAAGCAUGUGAACAUUGAGACUACCUCCCAGAUUUGAUUGUCAGUGUACUCUCCUAGAGGGUCAAGGUUGUGUCUCACGGUUCCGUCGAACAUCGUUGGGUCUUGCGGAAUGAUGCUCAAUCUAGAUCUCAGAUCAUGCAACCCGAUGGUGCAAAUGUCGACGCCGUCUACUGUUAUCUGGCCGACAGUGGGAUCCAUGAUACGGAAAAGGGCCUGUAUGAGAGUUGAUUUACCACUGCCUGUUCUACCAACAAUACCUGUCUUCAUGCCUCCAGGAAAAGUGACUGUAAGGCCCUUCAGAACAAACGGUAGUUGUGGAGCAUAUUUCACCUGCAUCAUUCUUAAAAUGUUAAGGACCUGUGAUGGCAAAGCACCCAAUCUAACAAUUACUUUGGCCAUGAGUCUAGAUUUCUGACAGUUUACUGACAAGGGCAAAAAAUGUACUCCCUCCGUCCGAAAAAACUUGUCCCUCAAAUGAAUGUAUCUAGCACCAAGUUAGUGCUAGACACAUCCAUUUGAGGGACAAGCUUGGGACAAGCUUUUCCAGACGGAAGUAGUGUAUUACUUACAUGGAGGUUAUGGAGCUGAAUUUCUCCCUCUGACGGCCAGUUAUGGGCCAACCCAUCUUCAGACAUCAAAAGAGGGGCCUCUUCAGGAAGGCUUAGGUAUUGCAAAAUUCUCUCUACUGAGAUGAUCUUGUUCUCCAAAUUGCACAUGCUUGUUACAAGCGUUACUUGCAUUAUGUUCAGAUUAAGCCCAUAUGUGACUACAAGGCCAGCAAUUCCUGGACGUCGGAUGGAAUUUCAGUUGCAAACUCAGAUCGUUUCUCCCACCAUUUUGUUCAGUACAAAAUGUGUUUGAAACCUUUUACUAUUUUUUUUGGUUAAUACCGGUGUAAAUUCCCCCUAUCUUCAAAUGAAAUAUAGCUUCCAGGCUGUUAUUUCAAAACAAAAAAUGCUGGGAACUAGCAUCAUACCUGGAUCAAUGAUACCGGUCGGCAGAUUGAUUAAAAAUAUUAAAGAGAUGGCAAAUGUAAGGGAUGAUAGCAUAUCCAUGCGGAAGCAAAGCCAUUCCAUUGCUCCAGCAUUGUAGAAUUUUUGUCGUGAGUAGGCAUCCAUUAGCUGGUUAUUAGUUGCUAAAAACUGUUUUUCCUUGCCAAAACUUCUAAUGAUUGCUGAUCCUGUUAUUGAUUCUACAAAAUGUUGUAUGAUAGGAGCUUUGCAAAUCCCGACCAUCCUUUGCAACUCUCUGGCUGUAUCAAUGUAGUAGCGCUGCAAAACGAUAAAUAUAAGCGAAAAUUCCAUUUACCACCGAAUAAGACCAUAAUUCCAUUUACCACCGAAUAAGACCAAAAUUAUGCACAGAAAUUUGUGCAAAAAAUAUUUUCAAAUUUGUUCAAAGUUUGUACAAAAGUUCUGCUGAGUUUCAACGUCAACUUUGGCGCCAAGGACAUGGUGUACAUAGGCCAACUAAUGUCUAUUUAGCAUGCAUAGAAAGAAUCACAUUACAGGUGAAAAACAGUCUUUACACACCUAAGGGCAAUAGGAUACAUCGAAUCGAAACGAAAUAGUGAUAUUCAGUGGUACUGAGGAAUAUUUCUCUCUAUAUAAUUAUAUGUUGAUCUUGCGGCUAAUACAGCGAAGGAUAACGAGUAGGAUAAAGUACCUGAUACCAGAGGCAGAUAGCAAUUACAGGAAUGAAAACAACAAAGACCUGCCAUGCAACCUGAGACAUCACAACAAUAGUUCCACCAAGUUGUAUGAAGGCAAACGCAAUAGAACCCAUCCUGUUAGCAAUGCUGGUGUCCACCAGGCUUUGAUCAGUCGAAGCCUAAAAAAACAAGUUCUUGUAUUAACAUGCUCGAAGCAAAUAAACUGAACUUUCCUAGGAUUUGUUUUUGAGAAUGACUUACCCUAUUCAAGAUGCGCCCACUUGGAGUGGAAUCAAAGAAAGACAUCGGAGCUCUGAAUAUGGAUACAUGCAUCUUGUUAAACAACAGAGUUGCUGUCUUGUAUGCGGCUGGCACAAGAAACAGGGCUCUCACGAAGGUGCACACCGAGCUUCCUAGGGCCAAUGCCACAUAGACGUAUAUCAGUGUGUACAUGCUCACUGGAGGCUCGACGUCCUUCGACGCAGGAGCAGCCCAGGCCAUCCAGUAAUUGCUAGCAAUGUGAAGCACUUCAAAAAGUAUCUGCGCGAGCAGCACGAAUGGCACAAGAGCUCCCCCAUAAGCUAAGCUGAUGUCAGUGACCCGGACAGACUUGCUGCGCCACCAGAUGAGAAAGCCUCACUGGCUCCAAUUGGAACAUCGAUUGUGUCGAUUGUUGCAAGAGCAUCCUGCUGCAGGUAAAAAUUCAAGCUGAUGAGUGACGUACACCACUGUUUUUUGAGCCAAUGCCCCAAGCAAGCAUUCCUACAGAACACAGAAGAAACCUUAACAAAUGUGUCUGUCAAAUUCCUGUGGAGCAGCAAACAGAAGGUAGUACCAUUGUACCUUGAAUAUGUGGGAUCCUGUAUGAGCAUCGACAGCACUGAAGGGGUCGUCGAACAAAUAAAUGUCGGCGUCCUGAUACAGAGCCC